UUUGACUUGGUUAAACAACCAAUAUAAGUGUUUGGUUAAUCAACUUUUUGUAACAUUUUAUUGCUCCAAAACGCUAAAAUUUAAAAAGUUGCUCAAAGCAAUUUUUUCGAU